GAGUCCAUGCUCAGCUCUCAUG
rnacentral:miRNA from 1 species